UGCGGUUGUAAGUUCAAUCGGAGAUGUUGGAAGCUCAAUUGGUCUUCAACGAUACAGGUAUUCAUUCACUUUAAUUAUGAAGGAGAUAUAUCUAUUCCGUGCUGCUGGACAUGAAACAUUACUUUUGCAGAAACUUAGAUUUGGCGAUGAAUUCUGCCGUUCUUGUGUUUCAUGUGCUUGGUGUCUUCAAGUGAAAGAUUGAUCAUGUUGUACGACCACGGUUUCUAUGUAUAAGUUAUUGAUAUUAAUUGUUACUGCGUUGUGAGGUGAAUUAAUCGAUAAAUUGAUAUAAAUAUAUAUACAUGAGAUUGAUUGUUGAGUGGGUUUAUUCCGACUUAUGAGGAGGUAAUUACUGGCUCAUGAGGCGGUAACUUGGAAGGAAAUGAGUUUAUUAGGUAUAAUAAAUCAUAUAUUAACGAUUCAACAUCAAAGUGUCGCCGAGAUCGGAAGGUUGAAUAUAUUCUUAUAAAUAUAUGGAUGGCUUGUGCAAAAAAAAAUUUGGAUGCAUCUUUUGUGGAAGAAAGAACUGGGAAUCCAGUGACUGAAGAUAGUAUCGGCGGUGGACUGUGAAAGAACGAAUUGGGGAUCCUGUGGCUCAAGAUAGGAUUGGUAUACCCAGAAGCUACGUGUAUGUUGACCUAGCCUUAUGUCUUUCCAAGCUGGCAGGCUUAGCUUGUGUUUCAUUCUAUAAACCUGUUGCAAAAAUCGCAUCCUUGUUAGUAGAAAUUCUUAGAUGUACUUGAGCACCAGGUGCAUUUUUAUGUAUCAAUUUGUUUUGUAUGAAUAGAGAGUUGUAAUAGAUGAAGAACUAGUGCGUGAAAUUAAUCAAGAACGGAACUUGUUAAUGUAAUUUGUUAUUGUGCCUAACUUGAGUUUCUUUCUACUUAAUAUGCUAAAUUUCUGGAAACCAAAUAGAGGUUUCAUUUUCUGCAAUUCUAGUAAAAAAAUCAGGCCAAAUGACCAUUUC
rnacentral:lncRNA from 1 species